GAUGAACGCUGGCGGUAUGCUUUACACAUGCAAGUCGUACGAGAGUUUUUAACUCAAGUGGCGGACGGGUGAGUAACACGUAAGAAUUUACCUUUAGGAGGGGGACAACAACUGGAAACGGUUGCUAAUACCCCAUAUGCUUUCGAGUGAAAUGGAUUUCCGCCUAAAGAGAAGCUUGCGGCUGAUUAGCUUGUUGGUAAGGUAAUGGCUUACCAAGGCGACGAUCAGUACCUGGUUUGAGAGGACGAUCAGACACACUGGAACUGAGACACGGUCCAGACUCCUACGGGAGGCAGCAGUGGGGAAUUUUCCGCAAUGGGCGAAAGCCUGACGGAGCAAUACCGCGUGAGGGAAGACUGCCUAUGGGUUGUAAACCUCUUUUUUCAGGGAGGAAUCAAAUGACGUGUACCUGAAGAAUAAGCAUCGGCUAACUCCGUGCCAGCAGCCGCGGUAAGACGGAGGAUGCAAGUGUUAUCCGGAAUCACUGGGCGUAAAGCGUCUGUAGGUGGUCAAAUAAGUCAACUGUUAAAUCUUGAGGCUCAACCUCGAAAUCGCAGUCGAAACUAUUAGACUAGAGUAUAGUAGGGGUAAAGGGAAUUUCCAGUGGAGCGGUGAAAUGCGUAGAGAUUGGAAAGAACACCGAUGGCGAAGGCACUUUACUGGGCUAUUACUAACACUCAGAGACGAAAGCUAGGGUAGCAAAUGGGAUUAGAUACCCCAGUAGUCCUAGCUGUAAACAAUGGAUACUAGAUGUUGGACAGAUCGACCUG
rnacentral:rRNA from 1 species